AUCUUGCGCAAUGGGCGAAAGCCUGACGCAGCCAUGCCGCGUGAAUGAUGAAGGUCUUAGGAUUGUAAAAUUCUUUCACCGGGGACGAUAAUGACGGUACCCGGAGAAGAAGCCCCGGCUAACUUCGUGCCAGCAGCCGCGGUAAUACGAAGGGGGCUAGCGUUGCUCGGAAUUACUGGGCGUAAAGGGAGCGUAGGCGGACUGUUUAGUCAGAGGUGAAAGCCCAGGGCUCAACCCUGGAAUAGCCUUUGAUACUGGCAGUCUUGAGUACGGAAGAGGUAUGUGGAACUCCGAGUGUAGAGGUGAAAUUCGUAGAUAUUCGGAAGAACACCAGUGGCGAAGGCGACAUACUGGUCCGUUACUGACGCUGAGGCUCGAAAGCGUGGGGAGCAAACAGGA
rnacentral:rRNA from 1 species